rnacentral:lncRNA from 1 species
AUGCAUAGAACUCCAUCUUCUUUCAGAAAUGCACAGCUCUUCCAGCAAUUUAUGGAGAGAAAUACAGGGGUAUUUGUUCUUUGGGUUGUUGUGUCUCCAAGCCCAGCAACCCGGACUCGUCCCACACCUUCUGCCACAGAACCUGCCAGCCUGCAGAUGAAUCGAGGCAUUUCUUUCCCUUCCUGCAACUUCUUGGCCCAGAAUUUCCCAGGCCUGCCUCUCUUCCCCAAAUCAAAGAUCACACAGCAGACCAUGCUUCACCUGCACUGGGAGGACCCAUCUGUCUUUUUUUGUCUGGAAAUACUGAGAUUGCUGCAGCAUCUGCCACCUCCAGCGUUCUCAGGUUGGGCUGGAACAGGAAAUAAGAGGAGUCUCACAAAGUUUCUAAGUGCUUUGGUCAUUCUGUAAGAGCUUGUAAAGCUCGGGAAGAGCCAGAGGGAAAGAGGAAAACAAGCCAGGAAAGCCAGGUUGGUGAAACCCUGCUCUGGCCACAGUGGUG